rnacentral:lncRNA from 1 species
UUUUGAUUACCACUUAUGUGGCGCGCUGACUGAGUUCCAUCAUGGAACGGGUGUUUGUGUCCACUUGAUCUGCCACCUCAAUUAAUGAGGGAGAUCAAGUGGUCCACGUUUUUUUGUAAUUUUUUAUUUUAUUUUUUUCCUUUGAUUUUCAUUAAUUCAUAUUAAUUUGAAUAUUGAUCCAAAAAAUAUGAGAGUUUCAC